rnacentral:snoRNA from 1 species
AGACUCCCUGGUGCUCAUCACAGGCUACGUUCUUAUGCUGACUGUACAGAAAGAGGAGACAAAGCAAACCUACCACAUGUACACCUAAGCUCAGGAACUGUAUCUGGUCUAUAUCGUGAACAGGGAGACAUGG